rnacentral:rRNA from 1 species
GGAGGGUGCGAGCGUUGUCCGGAAUCAUUGGGCGUAAAGGGCGCGUAGGUGGCCCGGUCAGUCUUUGGUGAAAGCGCGGGGCUCAACCCCGAGUCGGCCGUGCGAACUGCUGGGCUUGAGCACUGUAGAGGCAGGCGGAAUUCCGGGUGUAGCGGUGGAAUGCGUAGAGAUCCGGAAGAACACCGGUGGCGAAGGCGGCCUGCUGGGCAGUGGCUGACACUGAGGCGCGACAGCGUGGGGAGCAAACAGGAUUAGAUACCCUGGUAGUCCACGCCGUAAACGAUGGGCACUAGGCGCUUGGGGGAGCGACCCUCCGAGGGCCGGCGCUAACGCAUUAAGUGCCCCGCCUGGGGAGUACGGCCGCAAGGCUG